rnacentral:rRNA from 1 species
UACGAAGGGUGCAAGCGUUACUCGGAAUUACUGGGCGUAAAGCGUGCGUAGGCGGUUUCUUAAGUCCGUUGUGAAAGCCCUGGGCUCAACCUGGGAACUGCGAUGGAUACUGAGGAGCUGGAGUACGGUAGAGGAAGGUGGAAUUCCCGGUGUAGCGGUGAAAUGCGUAGAGAUCGGGAGGAACAUCAGUGGCGAAGGCGGCCUUCUGGAGCAGUACUGACGCUGAGGUGCGAAAGCGUGGGGAGCAAACAGG